rnacentral:rRNA from 1 species
CAAACUGAGGAUGGCGACCGGCGCACGGGUGAGUAACACGUAUCCAACCUGCCGAUAACUCCGGAAUAGCCUUUCGAAAGAAAGAUUAAUACCGGAUAGUAUACGAAUAUCGCAUGAUAUUUUUAUUAAAGAAUUUCGGUUAUCGAUGGGGAUGCGUUCCAUUAGUUUGUUGGCGGGGUAACGGCCCACCAAGACUACGAUGGAUAGGGGUUCUGAGAGGAAGGUCCCCCACAUUGGAACUGAGACACGGUCCAA